UGCUAAGUUGCUAGGACUUGCCUUGAAUUUGUGAUCCUCCUGCCUCAGCCUCCCAGGCCUCUGGGAUUACAGGUGUGCACCACCAUGCCCAGCCAAUAUAGGACUCUUAUAAUAAAAGGAAACUACACCAGAGAUGCACACAGAAAGAAGACCAAACGAUCACACAAGAAGAUGAUAGCCAUCUGCAAGCCAAGGAUAAAAACCUCAGAAGAAAUCAACUUGAGUUACCUUGGAUUCCAGGAACUACAGGCCUAACUGAUGAUCAUCUUUAUAACGAGGGACUGAAGCUAACCUUGAGCUACAGCAAGCCUCACAGCACAGAUCACCCCAUGAUGAGGUUGCCCCCAUAAGUGGGAGCAAUAACUGCAUGAUGAACGAAGCUGCUUCCCUAAGCUGGAGCAAUCAUCACAGGAUCAGAACCAAAUUGCCCUUUCAUGUGAUGAUGACUUCAGAGCCUCAUAGAACCAGUCUGCUUGAUAAUUAUCAACCAGAAACCUGACCAGGAUGACUUACUCUACCAUCUAUACAACACCCCAAGCCAUAUGAGCCCACAACUGUUGUCUUUGUUCCCCUUUUCUACAAAACCUCAAAGUUUCUGUUAGUCCUUGAAGACAAAUCUUUAGUAACUAUUAGACAAGAAGAUAGACCACCCAUAGUCACCCAGGAAAAGGGUCUCAAAGAAGAAAGAAGAUAAGAGAAUGCGAAAUCAGUCUUCUGACUCCAGCUGGUCCUAGCCACAAGGACACAAGGACAAUUCCUUAACAGUCCCUAGACAUGACCAAAAUGUUCUCUAAAGCACUUCCUCUUGCACCAACAAACCUUUACCCACUCCCUCAGCCUUGUGCUAAUAAAGCCCUAGAAGUCACUUUUCUCCAGAAUUACUGAAGAAGACAAAGUUGAUUGGCCCCUUUAUGAAUCCUGUAUUUAUAUGUCAUCCCGCCAGUCAUCUACAGGGACAGAUUAAACCCAGAAAGCCCCGUAGACAACAGACACCCAUUAUCAACCCUCUCUUAUUCCCGCUUCAGGAUUUGUGCUUUCUAUUACUCUAAUAAAUCCUGUUACUUUACACUCAU